UUCUUGGUUGAUUUUUAAUUCUUUUCUGGACACCAGCCAGUGCCCCCUGUUAUAUUUCCUGUUAUCCUUUCUUACUGGCUGACAUGGACCCCCAGCCUGCAAGCAGAAGGUUAAGGAGCAGCAGAAGUGGCCAUGGAGCGGCAAAGUCCAUCAUCUGUGCUCUAGCUCAGCUGACAGGUGUGUCCACACAGGAAGCAGAGAACUUGUUCCUUGCUGGUCUUCAGCACAGCAGAAGUGAAAUUGGAGACUUUGACCCAAGAAUUACCUGUCAAAAGAAAAAGGACGGUCUGCUGUAGGACUGUACAUUUUUGUUAUUGCUUUUCACUUUUCUAAGUGUUUUUUUAUUUUCUCAAAAGAAAAUUUUUACUUUACA